rnacentral:tRNA from 1 species
GGUUUCCUAGUGUAAUGGCUAUCACAGCGGAUUCUGAUUCCGCUAAUCUGGGUUCGAUUCCCAGGGAGACCU